rnacentral:rRNA from 1 species
UACGUAGGUGGCAAGCGUUGUCCGGAUUUAUUGGGUUUAAAGGGUGCGUAGGCGGUUCUUUAAGUCAGUGGUGAAAUCCGGCAGCUCAACUGUCGAUGUGCCAUUGAUACUGCAGAACUUGAGUACAGACGAGGUAGGCGGAAUUGACGGUGUAGCGGUGAAAUGCUUAGAUAUCGUCAAGAACACCGAUAGCGAAGGCAGCUUACUGGGCUGUAACUGACGCUGAGGCACGAAAGUGUGGGGAUCAAACAGG